GUUCCGGCUCCUCAGCGGCGUCAUCCGAUCCGAUACCCGACCCCGACAUCGGCCUCCGCUCGUCCCCUCCCCGGCUCCCCCUCCCCUCGCGACCUCACGCGAACGGCGAACCUCGUGCUCGCAGCCUCUGCACGAGAUGAGAUGAGGUGGCCUCUGCGCCUCCGGCCUCUACGCUCCGCGCCGCACCGGGGCUCCGAGUCUCCCCUUCUGUCGCAUCUCUCCGGGCCUUGCUUGCUGAUAGACAACUUCUUGAUUUUGCUUGUCUUACCCGAAGCACCUGGACUCCAUGUCCUGCUUCAUUUUGCUCAACCAGUUCAAGCCGCCCAGUUGUAGUCUAUCCAGUGGUCUUGUCAAGAACUAGAUGGUGUGGACUGUUUGUUUAAUGUUUUUCAUCCACUUUGCAUCGCACAUUUUAUCAGGUAUUCUGUUUUAUAUGUUUUCUACUAUGGCUCUGCAGUCUGCUUGAGUGGAUAAUCUGAUGGAUUAGUAAUUAACACUAACAUUUAGAAUUGAGAGUUGGUAUAUCCACGAGUGAAUACAGAACACAUAUUCAGUAUCUACAACCACCAAGGCAGCCAGUUUGAUGUUUCACCUUGCAAGUUGUUGAUGAAUCGAUGUUGUUUAGGUUACUUUAGACAUUAAUUAAAUUAAAGAAGGUUAGGGUUGUCACGAAAAGAAUCAAGGCGGCAGCAGCAGCCCGUGUGGCUGGCAGCAAUAACGAUGGCAUAUGGGAUUUUUGGCGCAAUGACUGGUGAUCUAUGUCUUACCUCAUUCAUCAAUUCAUUUGGGUGUAUUACACUAUGAGUAUCAGCUGCUAUACUGUCACUAAAACUAGAGAAAUAGUCUACCUCAAUGCUAUGUGUUCUUUUUGUUUUGCUUUGAAAAGUAAUAGCAAUCUAUAUGCCUUACAAAGAGUCUUCAAGGUACUUGACUAGUAUAGUUUUGCCCAAUUAGUAAUGUGUUGUCUUCAUUUUUAAGGAACAUGGAUCAAGUCCUAAGGCCAAAUGCUUCCAUUACAACUAUGAGCCAUAUUUAGUUCAACUCUGCUAUUCAAAUUUGGCUGUACAGUUUUGUUUCAAUUUUACAUGAUAAUAUGCUGAGCUCUUGUUCUUAUUGUUUCUACUUUUCAACUCAAUAAUGUAUCUCAAUACUCUGGUUUUCUUGCACAAAUUUUUAUUGUUUUACUUAGUCAGACAAUGUUGUUAACUUGAGGCUCCAAUAUGCAUAUAGAGCCUUUUUUUUUCUCCUUUUGAUAGUGAUACUUCCCUCUGUUACAUAUGAUCUGUACUCAUGUUUUUAUCUGGUUCUUUGCAGCAGGAGCAUGACUGUCGACCACUUCUCCCCUCACCUGAACUGAUGCACCUAUGCUUUGAUACCAAAGGUAUGAAAUUGUGGAUUUCUUCCUCCCUCUCUUAUCUCCCUCAGAUCCACUUCUUGGUUGUUCCUUUCCAUUUGUGUGGUCAACGCAUAGAAAACAGGGUCAAUCAUGCCUCCCAGUUCUGAAUGAUUCCAUAUGAAAUAUCUAGUAUGCAAUAAGUGACACCCUACUUGAUAUCUAUUAACUAAACAUGACCAUUGGUCGUUACAAAGUUCGCUAGUGACUGAAGUGAACACCCAUUAUUAUUUCCAGAAAACCUGACCAAGAGGUAGAACUGUAAAGAGGCUAUGUGCUUGUAUAUGCUCCUUAGUAUGGCUGCAGUUUACUUUUCACUCACUAACAUGCAGGGAUGGUUUGAAUUGUGGCUAACUGAAUCCAUGUAAUAUUCUGUAUUUCUUUGCUUUCACUCAUAUUUGUAUUUUUUUUCCUUCAUUAGAUAGCCUCAAAGAAAAAGGUGAGGGCUGUGUGUGUUGUUUGCUGCCUGCCAUCAAAAUUUUCACUUUUGACAAGUCAAUGUUCUUUUGGGAAGCACUUGAAGGUCGAGAGAUGGUGUUCUACGAAAAUGUUGAAGUUUAAAGCAUGGAUAAUGCCUUAUGGAAGUGCACAACCCUAGCUAUAAAUUUGUUAUCAUUUAUCGAAUUUUGAUUUGCAAAAUAAUGUAAUUUUCUAGAAGGCCUCUCUUGCACAUGCAAGUUUGUGAAGAUUUUGAAUUUUUUUUUGAUUUUUUUCUCAAGAAAAGUUUAUUGUGAUUCAUAUGUAAAGCGUCAUAUGCUUGUCCUUUGUUGCU